rnacentral:rRNA from 1 species
CAGCCGUAAACUAUGCGCGUUAGGUGUAUCGGUGACCACGAGUUACCGAGGUGCCGAAGGGAAACCGUGAAACGUGCCGCCUGGGAAGUACGGUCGCAAGGCUGAAACUUAAAGGAAUCGGCGGGGGAGCACCACAACAGGUGGAGCCUGCGGUUUAAUUGGACUCAACGCCGGGAAGCUCACCGGAUAGGACAGCAGAAUGAUUGCCGGGCUGAAGACCCUGCAUGACUAGCUGAGAGGAGGUGCAUGGCGUAGACGUCU